rnacentral:rRNA from 1 species
GCAAGGGACGGGCAAGACCGGUGCCAGCCGCCGCGGUAACACCGGCGGCUCGAGUGGUAACCGUUAUUAUUGGGUCUAAAGGGUCUGUAGCCGGCCGGAUAAGUCUCUUGAGAAAUCUGGCAGCUUAACUGUCAGGCUUUCAGGAGAUACUGUCUGGCUCGAGGCCGGGAGAGGUGAGAGGUACUUCAGGGGUAGGGGUGAAAUCUUGUAAUCCUUGAAGGACCACCAGUGGCGAAGGCGUCUCACCAGAACGGACCUGACGGCAAGGGACGAAAGCUAGGGGCACGAACCGGAUUAGAUACCCGGGUAGUCCUAGCCGUAAACGAUACUCGCUAGGUGUCGGCCACGGUGCGACCGUUGUCGGUGCCGUAGGGAAGCCGUGAAGCGAGCCACCUGGAAAGUACGGCCGCAGGGCUGAAACUUAAA